UAAUCCCAGUGGGCUCCCCACCUGCCAAGUAGUACUGCCCAUGUUUAAUGUCAACCCUUCCCUCUCCAGAAACUAAGGAGAGAGGUACUAAUUUCCAGGGCGCUUUGCAACAGCAGUCACACUGACAAAGUUAGCGACUAUUAUUACUCUUGGAGCAAAGCCCUCAGGUGGCCGGGCUUGCAGGGCAAGCACAUUAGCAGCUUGGUCAUCUCGCCCGUCCUUCAUGCUUAUUAAUAUUUGCUGUCUGUCCAUUCAGCAGUCUGUCUGCCCUUCCUUUUCCUGAUAUAAUAGCCAUCUUAACAGAAUAAUACAUUAUGUCAUUUGGCUUUGUGUUUUCCCAGUGAUCAGUUAUCUUGAGCCUUCUGUAUAGCUCUUGGCCACUUACAAGCCAUUGGAGAUGUGUCUGCUUCAGUUCAUUGACCGUUUUCAAGUUGUGUUACUUGGUUUAUUGGGUUUUAUUCUAUUUAUGGUGGCUGAUAUUUUGUACAUUAACCACUUUGUAUACACACACACACACAUACACACACACGCAGUUUGCUUUGCAAAUAUUCUCUUUCAUUCUGUAGUUGGUUCUAAUAAAUGUUGGUUGUUUCUUUGGCCAGGCAGACUUCUUUUACUCUGAUACAGUUGAGUUCCUAUUUUCAUUUCUCUUCUUAUGCUUUUAAUAAAUGACUAAUAGUGACUGUUGAACACCCAGGUUAAAUAGAACAUCUGUAUUCCCCAAACCAAGGCACAGGGAAUAUUAAGAGGAAUCAGUAAACGGGAGGGGUGUGAUGAUAUUCUGGCUGCUGCACAAUCCGACACAAGACAGGAUUCUCAUGAAUAUUCCCUCAUGGAUGGGGGAAGUGCUCCCAGUGUCCUCCCCUCAAACUAUUGACAGUUAAUGGGUUGCCAGAGGACCAGGGAGCCAUUCUCCUUCGUGUAACACUGGUAAGUUGCCCACACAUUACUGAGAAACCCCCCUCUGCUCAUGCCGGCAACCCUAGUGAAACCCAGAGGAUUAGUUGGAAAGGGUGGGAGUAAGACAAAGUAAUGGAGGAUAAUCUGAUUAAAGACAUAUUCAGGCAUGGAAUUUUCAAAACAUUCUAUGCAUAUAAAAAUUUCAAGAUGUCAGUUCUAACUACUAUGUAAUUCCAGUCAAAAUCCUGGCAAGCUAUUUUGUGGAAAUCAACAAAGUUUUAAGUGGGAUGAUAUUAAUAAAAGACCUGAGAUGGCCAGUGC
rnacentral:lncRNA from 1 species